AGAGACAGACAGGUCAUCGUCCUCGUCCAUUUCCCUCACUUCAAACUUUGUCACUUUUCCAUCCUCAACUUUCAGCGGUGGUGUCCUCUUUUCAUGAUCCUCAUCAUCACACUGUGUAUCAGAGUCAACAUGUCAGAGACCAUCCUCCUCACAGUGAUGUCACUCAACAGACAUGUACAGUAGGGUACAACUCUUUUACCUCCGAUUCACAGUGAGUGAAGGAGUAGAUGGAAAAGUCAUCAGAACUGGAGGAUGAGAUCACGUCAUCAUAUUUUCUCUCUAUCAGCCGAUUCACCCUUCCAGACUGAGGAGACAGAGAGAGGCAUGUAGUCAUGGCAGCCAUAGAAUACACUGGCAUUGACCCUCAAGGAAAUGUAGAAUAUGUAGGCAAUCCAACAUGGUUGUACAAGUAGUGAGUAAUACAUGGGUAACUGAAAAUGCAAUAAAUGCAACUCCCAUAACAUUAGGGGUGGGGCUAAAGACCUUCCAUAGAAUAGGAUUCUUUAGCAUCUCGAAUGGAUGAUUGUCAAUUCAACCAAGCCAACCAAAAUGGCCAUAUGAAUCAACAGAUUGAUCUAUCUGUUGUGUGUAAUGGAACAGCAGAGAUGACCUGGCUGAGAGGCUUUGGAUUGAUGUUCCAUCCGUCCCUGGAUGUCUGGUCCUGCCCACAGCUCACAAUGAUUGGCUAUAAACAGUAAAGAAUUAAUUAAACACUGCUUUGCUCAUUGCAGAAUGUAUAACUAAUGUGCAUGUGUUACUGAUUUCAGUUUGAAAUGACUUACAGGUUUUGUUCUUCUGUACACCUUGUCGGUUGGCCACAUCACAGAAUCAGGGGUGUUUACCCUCAUUGGAUUAAUCCGUCAACACAUCACUCAAUUUAAAAGGUGAUAAUAUAACAAAAACAGGACAAAACAGACAUGUAUUGUAUAUUUACCACAUAAGGGCUGCGUCUUAAAGCUCUUUUGAUUCUCUCAUUAUUACGAUCCAUUGCUUUCUGGGGGAAACAUUUCCAUCAAUAUUGUAUGUAUAUAUAUAUAUAUAAUAUAUAUAUGUGUGAGUGUGUAUAUACACCGAUUUGGAUAACAUUAACUUAAGAGACCACUGCAAAAUGAUCCGUUUCUCUGGGUUGACUAUUUAUAGGUAUGCGUUUGGGUAAAAUGAACAUUUUUGUUUUAUUCUAUAAACUACUGACAUUUCUCCCAAAUUCCAAAUUAAAAUAUUGUCAUUUAGAGCAUUUAUUUGCAGAAAAUUACAACUUAUCAAAAUAACAAAAACAGAUGCGGUGUUGUCAGACCUCGAAUAAUACUAAUAUUUUAACUUAGGAAGAGUUCUGAAAUCAUUAUUUGGUGGAAUAACCCUGAUUUUCAAUCACAGCUUUCAUGCGUCUUGGCCACCAGUCUUUUACGUUGGUGUUGGGUGAUUCAAGCAGCUUGGCUUUGUUUGAUGGCUUGUGACCAUCCAUCUUCCUCUUGAUCACAUUCCAGAAGUUUAAUGGGGUUCAAGUCUGGAGACUGGGCUGGACAUGACAGGGUCUUGAUCUGGUGGUCCUCCAUCCACACCUUGAUUGACUUGACUGUGGCUUGGAGCAUUGUCCUACUGGAAAAAAACAAUCCUCAGAGUUGGUGAACAUUGUCAGAGCAGAAGGAAGCAAGUUUUCUUCCAGGACAACCUUGUACGUGGCUUGAUUCAUGCGUCCUUCACAAAGAUAAAUCUGCCCGAUUCCAUCCUCCACCAAAUUUAACACUGGCUUGUAGGCCUUUCCAGGUCUCCGUCUAACCAUUAGACGACCAGGUGUUGGGCAAAGCUGAAAAUUGGACUCAUCGGAGAAGAUGACCUUACUCCAGUCCUCUACUAUGGUCUUUUGAAAACCUCAGCCUGGCACUUCUUUGCUUCUCAUUGAUGAAGGGCUUUUUUCUAGCUUUGCACAACUUCAGCCUGCCCCUAGGAGCCUGUUUCAAACCAUCCUCACUGUGCACUUCACCUCAGCUGCAUUUGCCAUUCUUUUUGUAGGUUAACUGCCUUGUUCAGGGGCAGAAUGACAGAUUUUUACCUUGUCAACUCUGGGAUUCGAUCUUGAAACCUUUUGGUUACUAGUCCAACGCUCUAACCACUAGGCUACCUGCCACCCCAAUGAACUGCUGUCUUUGAAAUUUUAAGGAUGGAAGCAUCCUGUAUCCCUCUGCCAGUAAAGCCCUUUUCCUCACUCAAAAUGUUCCUUUUCAACUCUUCUGGCAUAGUUAAUGGUUAUUUUUGGAUUCCAAUUACUUUUGAGGUACUACUAGCACUGAUAUAAACAUCCAGCUGGUCCUAUUGCAAGAGGAUAGUGAUGACCACAGCAGUGGUUUUUAUACUUUUCCUCGUUAAAUAAGAUUUGGUUCAGGUGAUCACCUAAUCAGUACCCCAUUCAGUAGAAUGAGGUGUGCUUGUGUUGGAAAUCAACAGACACUGGAAUGGAAUUUCUGCCAUACAUGUAGAGAUUCUGAUUACAGAAACAUUUGUUAAUUCUUUCCAGAGCUCUGAGUGUAUGUGGUACCCUGUAUACAGGUUGGGAAGGCUGUGCGCCAAAGGCCAAAGGUUACCUGCAACAACCUGAGUGAGGAAAGAGAUUAUACAGAUGAAAUCAAAUCUGAACACAGUGUAUGUAGGGAAUUAAUGCUUGGUUACGUCAUAAUACGUCACAGCUUUAUGACUGCGCAUAAUACAUUGCAAGAGAAAGGCUUGUGUGGAGCCUAACUAGUGGUAUUGUCUUCUCACUGGUUGUAGCUAGCUGAAUAACGAAAGUGAUGUACAUAUUUCCUACUGACUGAGUAAUGGUUGUAUCGAUGGUUGGUUGGAUGUUUUUUUUUUACAUAGAUAGGCUAACAGGAUAUCAAUAGAAAGAAACCAUUCCUUGCCCCCCCAAAAAUAAUUUUGCACUUUGAGUAACAAGCACUAAGGGACCACAAUGGAAUUCGUUGAUUUUAUUGUGUUGUCCCUGACACGUUUUAUUUUAUUAAACAGUUUUAUUUUUUUUACUAAACUGUCAAAUAUAUCUAUCUCACUUUCUAUCUAACUCAAAUGGGCUGUUGAGAACUCUGAUCAUCACAUUUCAGGCACAAGCCAGCAGGUGGCAAUGUCUUUAAAUGCAGCACUGCCUUCAUGAUCUGAGCAUCAAAUAACUUUGGUUGUGAACGUGAUUAAUAAAAAUGCGGAAGUCCAUUACAUUUGCUUUGGUUUAGCAAUCUAUCUACCCUGUCUUAGUUAAAGUGUUGUGCAAUAUUGGAGGACAGGUGUCGUAACUGACAUUUUUGUAUUGUGCUUGAUUAUCCACUGAUAUUAGUUUGACAUAUGUACUGAGCAUCAAAAAUCAGUUUUGAAAGAUGUGGUGGAAGAAUUUGGGGUGAGCUGUUGUAACUUCUCAAGGGAUAUGUUCUGUGUUGGACUGUGAUGUUAUGCGUUUCAUAGACUACUGGUAUGUCUGCGUCCUAACACAAGGCCAUUGUGUUCCGGAACUAUUGAUUUAUAGAAAAAACUGUUGUGUGAAUACAAUAUGAUUGUAUUAUCACCUCCCACUAUAUAAGGGACAUGUAACCAUUUCAUCCUUGCUGAGAAAUUAGAGGUGGCUCUCCUCUGCAGCUGCUUGUAUUAAAUAUGUUUAUUACAUUGUUAAAUAUAGGAUUAUCACCACAGCAAGCAAAGUACUUGGAGUCAAACAGACAGGCCUGGCUGAGAUCUUUUAGUUCAGGGUCCUCCGCAAGUCUCACAAUCAUUUUAGACCCAAGCCACCCCUUGUACCCGGACUUUGAACCACUCCCCAAUGGGCACAGGUAUAGGGCACCCUCAGCAAGAAAAACAGAACUAGACAAUCAUUUGUGCCAGGUGUGAUAUCCCUCCUAAAUAGCUCGGGCUGAUGUUCCUAUCGAAUCAGUAAAGCCAGCAGGCUAGUCAUUUUUUAAAUGUUUUAUUGGUAUGUAACUGUUAUGAAAGUUGUAUUGUAAUUUUGUUUUGUAUUAAAACUCCACUUUAAACGUGUACAUGACACUGCAACAAAAUUUCCCCAUGGGGACAAUAAAGUCAGUAAGUAAACCCUG